rnacentral:miRNA from 1 species
GCUGGUCAAAAGGAACCAAG